rnacentral:rRNA from 1 species
GACGAACGCUGGCGGCGUGCUUAACACAUGCAAGUCGAACGGAAAGGCCCUGCUUUUGUGGGGUGCUCGAGUGGCGAACGGGUGAGUAACACGUGAGAAACCUGCCCUUGACUUUGGGAUAACUUCAGGAGACUGGGGCUAAUACCGGAUAGGAGCUCCUGCUGCAUGGUGGGGGUUGGAAAGUUUCGGCGGUUGGGGAUGGACUCGCGGCUUAUCAGCUUGUUGGUGGGGUAGUGGCUUACCAAGGCUUUGACGGGUAGCCGGCCUGAGAGGGUGACCGGCCACAUUGGGACUGAGAUACGGCCCAGACUCCUACGGGAGGCAGCAGUGGGGAAUAUUGCACAAUGGGCGGAAGCCUGAUGCAGCAACGCCGCGUGCGGGAUGACGGCCUUCGGGUUGUAAACCGCUUUCGCCUGUGACGAAGCGUGAGUGACGGUAAUGGGUAAAGAAGCACCGGCUAACUACGUG